AGAUGAGCAGGGGCUGCCCAUGGAAGGGGCACUUCUGGGAGUAGUUCUGGUUUUUGGGUAGAGCCCCUCACCCUCUCUGCAUGUUUCAAGCAUUUAUUUGUGCCAGGCACAAUGCGAACUACUGGGGAUAUGGCUGUCCCAGGUGAUGACAUCACAGUGGAGGGCUGGACCAGGUGCUGGAGGUCUGUCUUGAGCCCCCAGCUCUGAGAUGGAGCAAGGAUCCAGUCACUAGAGUGUUUCCAUCAGGACUCCCCAGGCCCUUCCAUGCUGUGACACCAAAGAUAGUUCCUGACAGCAUCCAAGCUCAUCAUCCUCCACAGAUACCAAGAGAGAGAUUAGUUUUCUAAACCCAUCGCAAAGUGAAGGGAUAGCUGAUUGUCAUCCCAUUUUUGAGACCUCAGUCAUCCUUCUGCGUGCAUCACCACAACUAAGAGGAAGGAAAGAGCACUGGAUGUGGAGUGAGGAGACAUGGAUUCUGUCACUACCCUGCUCUGCAGAACCCAAUAGUAUGUCAUUGAAACAAAACAAUACAAAACCCUGUCUACAAAAGAAGACUCAUAAGUCAACAAUAACUCGGGUUUCAUAAAGGAAGAAAGUCUUAGAGGAGGAAAAUCAACCCAUUCAAAUACAGGAGCAUCUGCUUAACACAAGACGGAACGAACCCCGCUGCCAGACCGGUGGUGUGGGCAGGCGAAUGUGUGCGUGUGCAUAGGAACAAGCCUAUAUAUGGAUGAGACAUUAGUGGCAACGAGAGGAGAGCCACCACGAUUGACAAAGCCACAACUAUUACGAUUUGAAAUAUCCCCCGCAGGCACUGACUUUUGGUGCCAGAAUCUCCCCGGAUUUAUUUUCAGGUUUGGCUUCCUUGAGACAGAGGAUCUUGCUCGCCUCAAAGAGGAGGGCAGUUUGCCCCCUUCCUCCUGAC
rnacentral:lncRNA from 1 species